UCUGGCGUGUUUCCGCCAGUACCCGAGGAUGGCGUGCUGCCGUUGCGCGUAUGACGGGGUGCGAAGCCCAUCCGGCAAUGUACCGAAACCGAUAACUUCCAAUUCGGCGUAGGGC
rfam:Lentisphaerae bacterium GWF2_57_35 gwf2_scaffold_579, whole genome shotgun sequence.